UAGGGAAUCUUCCGCAAUGGACGCAAGUCUGACGGAGCAACGCCGCGUGAGUGAAGAAGGAUUUCGGUUCGUAAAACUCUGUUGUUAGAGAAGAACAGCGCAUAGAGUAACUGUUAUGCGUGUGACGGUAUCUAACCAGAAAGCCACGGCUAACUACGUGCCAGCAGCCGCGGUAAUACGUAGGUGGCAAGCGUUGUCCGGAUUUAUUGGGCGUAAAGCGAGCGCAGGCGGUCAAUUAAGUCUGAUGUGAAAGCCCCCGGCUCAACCGGGGAGGGUCAUUGGAAACUGGUGGAAUUGAGUGCAGAAGAGGAGAGUGGAAUUCCAUGUGUAGCGGUGAAAUGCGUAGAUAUAUGGAGGAACACCAGUGGCGAAGGCGACUCUCGGGUCUGUAACUGACGCUGAGGCUCGAAAGCGUGGGUAGCAAACAGG
rnacentral:rRNA from 1 species